rnacentral:rRNA from 1 species
UACGUAGGAGGCGAGCGUUGUCCGGAUUUACUGGGCGUAAAGCGCGCGCAGGCGGCACUUCAAGUAAGGUGUGAAAUCUCCCUGCUCAACGGGGAGGGUGCACUUUAGACUGGGGAGCUAGAGGACGGUAGAGGGGGGUGGAAUUGCUGGUGUAGCGGUGAAAUGCGUAGAGAUCAGCAGGAACACCCGUGGCGAAGGCGGCCCCCUGGGCCGUACCUGACGCUGAGGAGCGAAAGCAUGGGGAGCGAACGAGG